GACGAACGCUGGCGGCGUGCCUAAUACAUGCAAGUUGAGCGCUGAAGGUUGGUCCUUGUACCAACUGGAUGAGCAGCGAACGGGUGAGUAACGCGUGGGGAAUCUGCCUUUGAGCGGGGGACAACAUUUGGAAACGAAUGCUAAUACCGCAUAAAAACUUUAAACACAAGUUUUAAGUUUGAAAGAUGCAAUUGCAUCACUCAAAGAUGAUCCCGCGUUGUAUUAGCUAGUUGGUGAGGUAAAGGCUCACCAAGGCGAUGAUACAUAGCCGACCUGAGAGGGUGAUCGGCCACAUUGGGACUGAGACACGGCACAAACUCCUACGGGAGGCAGCAGUAGGGAAUCUUCGGCAAUGGACGAAAGUCUGACCGAGCAACGCCGCGUGAGUGAAGAAGGGUUUCGGAUCGGAAAACUCUGUUGGUAGAGAAGAACGUUGGUGAGAGUGGAAAGCUCAUCAGGUGACGGUAACUACCCAGAAAGGGACGGCUAACUACGUG
rnacentral:rRNA from 1 species